rfam:Rachicladosporium sp. CCFEE 5018 unplaced genomic scaffold Supercontig_23, whole genome shotgun sequence.
UUGCAAGAUGAACACUGAUAGGGACAACUGAUGCUACGGCACAUGAGGUGACCCAGUGAGAGUAUUUUAGUAGAUGCUUCUCUCGACUGACA